UGGGGAAUUUUGGACAAUGGGCGAAGCCUGAUCCAGCAAUGCCGCGUGUGUGAAGAAGGCCUUCGGGUUGUAAAGCACUUUUGUCCGGAAAGAAAUGGCUCUGGUUAAUACCUGGGGUCGAUGACGGUACCGGAAGAAUAAGGACCGGCUAACUACGUGCCAGCAGCCGCGGUAAUACGUAGGGUCCAAGCGUUAAUCGGAAUUACUGGGCGUAAAGCGUGCGCAGGCGGUUGUGCAAGACCGAUGUGAAAUCCCCGAGCUUAACUUGGGAAUUGCAUUGGUGACUGCACGGCUAGAGUGUGUCAGAGGGGGGUAGAAUUCCACGUGUAGCAGUGAAAUGCGUAGAGAUGUGGAGGAAUACCGAUGGGCGAAGGCAGCCCCCUGGGAUAACACUGACGCUCAUGCACGAAAGCGUGGGGAGCAAACAGGAUUAGAUACCCUGGUAGUCCACGCCCUAAACGAUGUCAACUAGUUGUUGGGGAUUCAUUUCCUUAGUAACGUAGCUAACGCGUGAAGUU
rnacentral:rRNA from 1 species